AAGACGCCUGAAGGGGCCUCUCUGCCUUGCGGGGUCCCCAUGAGCUUUCCCUGCAGUCAACUUGCUUUCAUUUUUUAAAAAUGUCCACUGGGUGGCAGUAGAGCUCCUUAUUUUCAGCAGGCGCUGAGCUGGAGGGAAUGGAGCAUUCCUAGGGCAAAUCUGGGCAACAACAGAGAAACUGGGAUGUCGUGGACCCAAAUGCCCUGAGCUUCCUGGACGCCUUUUUGAGCAAAAAGGCAGGGACAGUCUAAGGGGGUUAUGAAAAGAAUGACAGAGGCCGGGAGCGGUGGUUCAAGCCUGUAAUCCCAGCACUUUGGGAGGGAGAGGCGGGCGUAUCACCUGAGGUCGGGAGUUCAAGACCAGCCUGACCAACAUGGAGAAACCCUGUCUCCACUAAAAAUACAAAAAAUUAGCCGGGCGUGGUGGCGCAAGCCUGUAAUCCCAGCUACUCAGGAGGCUGAGGCAAGAGAAACGCUUGAACCCAGGAGGCGGAGGUUGUGGUGAGCCAAGAUGGUGCCAUUGCACUCCAGCCUGGGUAACAAGAGCAAAACUCCAUCUCAAAAAAAGNAAAGAAAAGAAAAGAAAAGAGUGACAGAGGGCGGGACAGAUGCGCGAGAGUAACAUGUGAAAGGUAGAGUUUAGGUGGUAGGUAUAUGGUUGUCUUGGUUGCUAAGAAACUUUAUUUUUUGGAAGAGUUCUAGAUUUACAGAAAACGUUGCAAAGAUGACACAGAGAGAUCCCAUAUACUCUGCACCCCAUCUUCCCUGUUAUUAACAUCUCACAUCACUGUGUUAUAUUUGUUAAAAUUAAGGAACCAAUAUGGAUACACUAUUAUUAGGUAAAGUCCAUACUUUAUUCUGAGUUCCUUAUGUUUUCCCCGAUGUCUCUUUCCUGUUCCCAGAUCCCAUCCAGGAUCCUACGUUCUAUUUAGUUGAGAGUUUCUCAGACUUUGGUUUUUGCUGACAGUUUCAAAAAGUACUCAUCAAGUAUUUGUGGAAUCUCCCUCGACUGGGAUUUGUCUGCCUUUUUUCUCAUGAUUAGGAUGAGAUUAUGGGGUUUGGGAGGAAGACCAUACAGAUUAAGUGCAUUUUUUUCUUUUCUUUUCUUUUUUUUUUUUUUUUUUUUAGAUGGGGCCUCACUCUGUCACCCAAGCUGGAAUGCAGUGGUGCAAUCUCAGCUCACUGCAACCUCCGCCUCCCAGGCUCAAGCAAUCCUCCCACCUCAGCCUCUCGAGUAGCUAGGACCACAGACAUGUGCCACCACGCCAGACUGAUUUGUACUUUUGGUAGAGACAGGGUUUCACCAUGUUGCCCAGGCUGGUCUCAAACUCCUGAGCUCAAGCGAUCCCCCAUUUCCCAAAGUGCUGGGAUUACAGGCGUGAGCCACCGCGCCCAGCCUAAAGUGCUGUUUUCCUCACGUCAUAUCAAGGGUACACACUAUGGACAUGACUGCUCCCUGUUGAUGUUGAUCUUGAUCGCCCGGCUGAGGUUGUGUUUGUCAGGUUUCUCCACAAUUGCUUUUUAUUUUCCCUCUUUCAGUUCUGUACUCUGAGGAAGUCACUAUAUGCAGCCCACACCUACCAAAGAUCAAAAGGCAGUGGCUCAGGAGACUGGGGACUGGGCUCCCCAUAGAGAAUGCCCCUGAUUAAAGCUGCAGCCCAGUCAAACUCAUCUUGUUCUAGAAGGAAUCUGAAAGAUCCAUCCCUGCACCAGAUGGAGGGAAAGGCUUACCAUCAACUAUGAUUGUUUGUGAAAUAACAUCAUCCCACACAUCCAAGAAACUCAACAAACCCCAAGUAUGAUCAAUGAAAAGAGAUCCACAUGGUAGGUCCUCAAAUAUGUUGAACCUACCAAGUGUUGUUGUUGUUGUUGUUGUUGUUGUUGUUGUUGUUGUUGUUUGAGACGGAGUUUUGCUCUUGUUGCCCAGGCUGGAGUGCAAUGGCACGAUCUUGGCUCACUGCAACCUCCCUCUCCCAGGUUUAAGCGAUUCUCCNNNNNNNNNNNNNNNNNNNNNNNNNNNNNNNNNNNNNNNNNNNNNNNNNNNNNNNNNNNNNNNNNNNNNNNNNNNNNNNNNNNNNNNNNNNNNNNGGCCAGGCUGGUCUUGAACUCCUGACCUCGUGAUCCACCUGCCUCAGCCUCCGAAAGUGCUGGGAUUACAGGCGUGGGCCACCGUGCCCGGCCAUACCAAGAAUUGUUAAAGCAAACUAACUAUGGCCUGAGAAGGACUCCAUACUUCCAUGUUUGAGUCCUUGUGGAUGAACUGCAACCUAACUUAAUAGGUAGACAAGAUUGAAAACCUAACUUAGGAGUAGGCACCUGUAACAAUAGCUGAGUCUUGGCCAAUCCUAGUGGCCCUACUUCAACCACUCAUGCAGGGCUGUGUUCAGACUGUGUUGAAAUAAGGCAAAUGCUGAGCUGUAACCAGUCCAGUUGUUUCUGUACCCCACUUCCGAUUUCUGUAUGUCACUUGACUUUUUUUUUGGUCUAUAAAUUUGUUCUGACCACGAGACACUCCUGGAGUCCCUCUGAAUCUGCUGUGAUUCUGGGGGCUGCCCAAUUCAUGAAUCAUUCAUUGUUCAAUUAAACUCCUUUCAAUUUAUUUCGGCCGAAGUUUUUCUUUUAACAGAGGAAAUCUUGAAAGCAGUAAGAGAAAAACACCCAUCCAUCAGGGGAACAACAAUACAAUUAUGGCUGGCUUCUCUCAUCUGCAACUAUAGAAGCCAGAAGGCAGUGGAAUGGCAUAUUUUGAGUGCUAAGGAAAAAACUGUCAGUCAACUAUUCUAUAUCCAGCAAAACUGCAUUUCAAAAAUGCAGGCUGAAUAAAGAUAUUUUCAGAUAAAUGAAGACUGAGAGACUUGAUUGCUAGCUGGUCUGACUCAAAAGAAAUACUGGAGAAAGUCCUUUAGGGUGAAAGGAGAGGAUACCAGAUGUUUUAAGCUGAAUCCACAGGGUAAAUCCAAGUAAAUAGUACCAGAAAUCAUACAUAUAUACAUUUAUAUAACAGAUAAACAUGUUUUGCUUUUAUUUCUUCUUUUAACUUCCAAAAGACGUAAGUUUGUAUAAAGCAACAAGUAUAGCUGUAGUGUUAUGUCUAUAAUAUAUAGAUUUACUAUCUAUGAUAAUAAUUGCACCGGGCGCAGUGGCUUAUGCCUGUAAUCCCAGCAUUUUGGGAGGCCGAGGCAGGUGGAUCACAGGUCAAGAGUUCGAGACCAGCUUGGCCAACAUGGUGAAACCCCAUCUUUACUAAAAAUACAAAAAAAUCAGCUGGGCGUCGUGGGACGCACCUGUAGUCCCAGCUACUCGGGGGGCUGAGGCAGAAGAAUCGCUUGAACCCGGGAGGUGGAGGCUGCAGUGAGCCGAGAUCUUGCCACUGCAUUCCAUCAUGGUGACAAAGUGAGACUCUGUCCCAAAAAACAAAACAAAGCAAAACAACCCCCCAAAAAAACUUUCCGUAUGACCUAGCAAUUCCAUUCUAAGGAAUAUUCCCAAGAAAAGUGAAAACUUAUGACACACAGAGCCAGUACCUGAAUGUUCAGAGCAGUGUUACUUAUUCAUAAUAACUAUAACCUUGAAACCAUCCAAUGUCCAACAGCUAAUGAAUGUAUAAACAAAGUCUGAUAGAUUCAUACAGUGGAAUACUAUUCAACAAUGAAAAGGAAGAGACUACUGGUCCACACUACAACAUGGAUGAACCUGAAAAACAUUAUGCCAACUGAAAGAAUCCAGGCACGAAAGACUUCCUAUUAUAUGAUCCUGUUUAUAUGAACUGUCCCAAGUUUAUGAGAACAGAAAGCAGAUCUGUGGUCAUUUAGGGCUGAGGAUGGGGCAAAAACUAAUUGCAAAUGGACAUGAGGGAACACUUUGGGGUGAUUAAAAUGUUCUAACACUGGAUUAUAAAGAUAGUUGCUCAAUUCCAUAAAUUUACUAAAAAUCAUUGAAUUGAAAAAAGUAGCAAUUAACCAAAAUAAUGAAAAAGUAGCAAUUAACCAAAAUGAUGAAAAAAGUAUCAUUUAACCAAAAAGUGAUAUUUGACAAUGUUUCAUUUCUAUCCAGCUAUCUUUUUUUUUCUUUUUUUUUNNNNNNNNNNUUUUUUUUUUUUUGAGACGGAGUCUGGCUUUGUUGCCCAGGCUGGAGUGCAGUGGUGCCGUCUCGGCUCGCUGCAACCUCCGCCUCCCAGAUUCAAGCGAUUCUCCUGCCUCAGCCUCCCAGGUAGCUGGGACUACAGGUGCAUGCCAUUCCCGGCUAAUUUUUGUAUUUUUAGUAGAGACAGUGUUUCACUUUAUGUUGCCCAGGCUGGUCUCAAACUCCUGGCCUCAAGUGAUCUGCCUGCCUCGGCCUCCCAAAGUGCUGGGAUUAUAGGCAUGAGCCACCAUGCCUGGCCCCAGCUAUCUUAAAGUUUAGAAACACUUUAUUGUUAAAAAAAAAAGUUUGUGUUUUUUUAUUGAAUAAAUAUGAUCUAUUGAUAAAUAAAGUAAUAAUUGCUAAUACAUUUUUCUUAGCACAAAGUGGUGGUAAAAUAUCAUUAUAAUAUGGAAAUAAAUAAUAAUUUCCAGGCUGGACACAGUAGCCCAUUCCUGUAAUCCCAGAAUGUUGGGAGGCCAAAGCAAGUGGAUCGUUUGAGCCUAGGAGUUUGAGACCAGCCUGGGCA
rnacentral:lncRNA from 1 species